rnacentral:other from 1 species
UAUUCGCGGCGUAGGGUACAGAGGUUAAGAUGUUCUAUCUUUCAGACCUUUAUUUCACUUUUAGUGAUCAGCCAAAUAAUGGCGCCCCGGCCUCCACACACGGCCGGGGCUUUUUUUU